rnacentral:rRNA from 1 species
UACGUAGGGGCCGAGCGUUGUCCGGAGUUAUUGGGCGUAAAGCGCGCGCAGGCGGCCUCGCGCGCCCGACGUGAAAGCCCCCGGCUUAACCGGGGAGGGUCGUUGGGGACGGCGGGGCUUGAGGGCGGGAGAGGUCGGUGGAAUUCCCGGUGUAGUGGUGAAAUGCGUAGAGAUCCGGAGGAACACCAGUGGCGAAGGCGACACGCUGGGCCGUACCUGACACUGAACCGCGACAGCAUGGGGAGCAAACAGG